GUCUCUUUGUUUUUUAUACAUAAAGAGUCGGGCCUGCUCGGUGAAUAAAAUUUUUUUAACAGCUGCGGUAUUUUAACUGUACUAAGGUAGCAUAAUAAUUUGCCUUAUAAUUUGAGGCUAGAAUGAAUGGUUUGACGAAGGUUAAUCUGUCUCUAUCCUAAUUGUUAGAAAUUAAUUUUUAAAGUGAAAAAGCUUAAAUUUUUUAAAGGGACGAGAAGACCCUAUUGAUCUUGUAAUUUAAUCAAUACUCGUUUUAAAAAUUUGAGUACAUUAUAAAUUUUGAUUGGGGUGAUCAAGGAAUAAAAUAAUAACUUCCUUAGAAUAUUUACUGGUAAGUAAAUUAACCAAUAAUAUUGCUUAUAAUAAAGUUACCAUAGGGAUAACAGCGUAAUUUACUUUGAGAGUUCUUAUCGAAAAGUGAGAUUGCGACCUCGAUGUUGGAUUAAAGUAACCUUAAGGUGCAGCAGCUUUAAUUGGUAAAUCUGUUCGAUUUUUAAAACUUUACA
rnacentral:rRNA from 3 species